UGUGGAUUUCGGUUGUGGAUCUAGGUUGUGGAUUUCGGUUGUGAAUCUAGGUUGUGGAUCUAGGUUGUGAAUCUAGGUUGUGGAUCUAGGUUGUGGAUUUCGGUUGUGGAUUUCGGUUGUGGAUUUCGGUUGUGAAUCUAGGUUGUGGAUUUCGGUUGUGAAUCUAGGUUGUGGAUUUCGGUUGUGAAUCUAGGUUGUGGAUUUCGGUUGUGGAUCUAGGUUGUGGAUUUCGGUUGUGAAUCUAGGUUGUGGAUUUCGGUUGUAAAUCUAGGUUGUGGAUCUAGGUUGUGGAUUUCGGUUGUGAAUCUAGGUUGUGGAUUUCGGUUGUGAAUCUAGGUUGUGGAUUUCGGUUGUGAAUCUAGGUUGUGGAUUUCGGUUGUG
ensembl:lncRNA